rnacentral:rRNA from 1 species
AACGAACGCUGGCGGCAUGCCUAACACAUGCAAGUCGAACGAGACCUUCGGGUCUAGUGGCGCACGGGUGCGUAACGCGUGGGAACCUGCCCUUAGGUUCGGAAUAACUUCACGAAAGGGGUGCUAAUACCGGAUACUGUCUUCGGACUAAAGAUUUAUCGCCUUUGGAUGGGCCCGCGUUGGAUUAGCUAGUUGGUAGGGUAAAAGCCUACCAAGGCGACGAUCCAUAGCUGGUCUGAGAGGAUGAUCAGCCACACUGGGACUGAGACACGGCCCAGACUCCUACGGGAGGCAGCAAGGGGGAAUAUUGGACGAUGGGCGAGAGCCUGAUCCAGCAAUGCCGCGUGAGUGAUGAAGGCCUUAGGGUUGUAAAGCUCUUUUACCCGGGAUGAUAAUGACAGUACCGGGAGAAUAAGCCCCGGCUAACUCCGUG